UAACGCGUGAGGAACCUGCCUUUCAGAGGGGGGACAACAGUUGGAAACGACUGCUAAUACCGCAUAACACAUAGGUGUCGCAUGGCAUUUAUGUCAAAGAUUUAUCGCUGAAAGAUGGCCUCGCGUCUGAUUAGCUAGUUGGUGAGGUAACGGCUCACCAAGGCGACGAUCAGUAGCCGGACUGAGAGGUUGGCCGGCCACAUUGGGACUGAGAUACGGCCCAGACUCCUACGGGAGGCAGCAG
rnacentral:rRNA from 1 species